UUGUGAAAUCAUUUAUCAACUGAGCUUUAUUUGUCCUUUUAGGAAUAAAAGGUGGAUUUUCAUAUGAUGCUGAGCACAGAAAGUAUGCUGCCUUAGCAAUGAGCUGAUGAUAUCAUCUUCAUCAUUACUGAUUGCRCUAUUCGGAGAGAAGCUAACAUUCGGUUUGGCUGAGUGAGUGGAGAUAUCUCUGAACUGACUAGAAUGUAAUUUCUGUAAGAUGUUGGUUGGUUUGUAGUAGUCUUAUCUGAGUGAACAAUCAAUCCUAGUUGAGAUUGGACCCAUAUAUCUCAUGCAUACAUUGAAUUUGUAUAUCUGUUGGAUCUGAAGCUGUCAAAAUUCUAAAUAAUUUUAUAGCCCUGUUGUUUGAAUUGUAGCUGAAUGCUGACCUUUGUAAAGCCAACCACAUCCAAGCAGAUAUAACUACAAUAUUCCCAAAUCUGGGAAUCUGCUUCACCUGCCUCUACUUGCUUUUAUUUAGGACUUUUCUUAUAUCCUUGGAAGCUGCGACUUUCUGACCAUACCCACUUSAGAUGUUUCUGGAGAAUCUGUUCUCAGACUGUGGAUGCAAUACUUGAGAGCCCGUUUUUCUUCCUGAGGCAUUUUAUUGUAGCUAUGUGAUGUCAGCAGUAGUUUUGUCUGCAAGCCCCAUGCAGGAGGUGGGAAGAUGUCUACAGAGGUGCA
rnacentral:lncRNA from 1 species